rnacentral:rRNA from 1 species
AUUGAACGCUGGCGGCAGGCCUAACACAUGCAAGUCGAGCGGAUGAAGGGAGCUUGCUCCUGGAUUCAGCGGCGGACGGGUGAGUAAUGCCUAGGAAUCUGCCUGGUAGUGGGGGAUAACGUCCGCAAACGGGCGCUAAUACCGCAUACGUCCUGAGGGAGAAACUGGGGGAUCUUCGGACCUCACGCUCUCAGAUGAGCCUAGGGCGGAUUAGCUAGUUGGUGGGGUAAAGGCCUACCAAGGCGACGAUCCGGAACUGGUCUGAGAGGAUGAUCAGUCACACUGGGACGGAGACACGGUCCAGACGCCUACGGGAGGCAGCAGUAGGGAAUAUUGGGCAAGGGGCGGAAGACUGAUCCAACCAGGCCGCGGGUGGGAAGAAGGUCUUCGGGUUGGAAAGGACUUUAAGUUGGGAGGAAGGGGAGUAAGUUAAUACCGUGCUGUUUUGGCGGUUCCAACAGAAAAAGCACCGGGCUAACUCGGGG